GUUCGGAUUGUAGUCUGCAACCCGACUACAUGAAGCCGGAAUCGCUAGUAAUCGCGGAUCAGAAUGCCGCGGUGAAUACGUUCCCGGGUCUUGUACACACCGCCCGUCACACCAUGGGAGUCGGGAACACCCGAAGUCCGUAGCCUAACCGCAAGGGGGGCGCGGCCGAAGGUGGGUUCGAUAAUUGGGGUGAAGUCGUAACAAGGUAGC
rnacentral:rRNA from 1 species